rnacentral:rRNA from 1 species
AUUGAACGCUGGCGGCAUGCCUUACACAUGCAAGUCGAACGGUAACAGGUCUUCGGAUGCUGACGAGUGGCGAACGGGUGAGUAAUACAUCGGAACGUGCCCAGACGUGGGGGAUAACGAGGCGAAAGCUUUGCUAAUACCGCAUACGAUCUAAGGAUGAAAGCCGGGGACCGCAAGACCUUGCGCGUUUGGAGCGGCCGAUGGCAGAUUAGGUAGUUGGUGGGGUAAAAGCUUACCAAGCCGACGAUCUGUAGCUGGUCUGAGAGGACGACCAGCCACACUGGGACUGAGACACGGCCCAGACUCCUACGGGAGGCAGCAGUGGGGAAUUUUGGACAAAGGGCGAAAGCCUGAUCCAGCAAUGCCGCGUGCAGGAUGAAGGCCUUCGGGUUGUAAACUGCUUUUGUACGGAACGAAAAGGCUCUGGCUAAUACCUGGGGCACAUGACGGUACCGUAAGAAUAAGCACCGGCUAACUACGUG